rnacentral:rRNA from 1 species
AGAACGAACGCUGGCGGCAGGCUUAACACAUGCAAGUCGAGCGCCUCGGCAACGGGGAGCGGCAGACGGGUGAGUAACGCGUGGGAACAUACCCUCCGGUUCGGAAUAACUCAGGGAAACUUGAGCUAAUACCGGAUACGGCAACCAAGAGAGAUUUUGGCGGCGAAAGAUUUAUCGCCGGAGGAUUGGCCCGCGUCCGAUUAGCUAGUUGGUGUGGUAAUGGCGCACCAAGGCGACGAUCGGUAGCUGGUCUGAGAGGAUGAUCAGCCACAUUGGGACUGAGACACGGCCCAAACUCCUACGGGAGGCAGCAGUGGGGAAUAUUGGACAAUGGGCGCAAGCCUGAUCCAGCCAUGCCGCGUGAGUGAUGAAGGCCUUAGGGUUGUAAAGCUCUUUCACCCACGACGAUAAUGACGGUAGUGGGAGAAGAAGCCCCGGCUAACUUCGUGCCAGCAGCCGC